AUGAACCGCAACAUAUGUCAAAGUGGACCUCAUUGCUAUCUUGUUGUUCCUUUUAAAAAAAUCACACUUUCAUGUCGGGCGCAAGUGAACGACAUCGCUCGUAAAAGUAAACCACACCCGAGGACCAAACGCACUACAAGUGUUGAUGUAGUCGAUUUUGAGACACACAAAACAAAUUGCACUUCAUACAGAGGGGCAAUGAGCUGCUACACAAAUUGGAGUGAACUACUUUUUGUCUUCUUCAAACAAAAUUAUUCAAGAUAUCAUGGUAGUACUGUGGAUGGGAGACUAGGGAACCGCACCAAAACACACCUGAGUUUUUAA
rnacentral:rRNA from 1 species